rnacentral:rRNA from 1 species
GAUGAACGCUGGCGGCGUGCCUAAUACAUGCAAGUCGAGCGAACGGACGAGAAGCUUGCUUCUCUGAUGUUAGCGGCGGACGGGUGAGUAACACGUGGAUAACCUACCUAUAAGACUGGGAUAACUUCGGGAAACCGGAGCUAAUACCGGAUAAUAUUUUGAACCGCAUGGUUCAAAAGUGAAAGGCGGUCUUGCUGUCACUUAUAGAUGGAUCCGCGCUGCAUUAGCUAGUUGGUAAGGUAACGGCUUACCAAGGCAACGAUGCAUAGCCGACCUGAGAGGGUGAUCGGCCACACUGGAACUGAGACACGGUCCAGACUCCUACGGGAGGCAGCAGUAGGGAAUCUUCCGCAAUAGGCGAAAGCCUGACGGAGCAACGCCGCGUGAGUGAUGAAGGUCUUCGGAUCGUAAAACUCUGUUAUUAGGGAAGAACAUAUGUGUAAGUAACUGUGCACAUCUUGACGGUACCUAAUCAGAAAGCCACGGCUAACUACGUG